GGCCAGGCAGCCCUAGAUUGACUCUAUUAAAAACUCCCGUAAGCCUUGCUGCGUCUGCCUCAGCAUGGCGGGAGGGAGGGACACCUUGGCUGUGGGUCUGUUCCCUCUCCUGUGAUUGCUGACCAGGAUCUCCCCGGGCUUGCCUUCCCUUCAGCCGCCCAGCGUGGUCUCACCAUCACCAUGCAGUAGACUCACUUGGGAGGCCUUUAGAAGUGCUGAUGCCAGGACCAAUUCAGUGGGAGCUUCUGGGGCUGGGAGGAGCAGCGUCCCAGUGAGAAGAGAGAAGGCUGCUCUGACAAAUCUGAACAUCUAGCUAUCUUCAGCCCUGCUGAGCUUGCGUGCGUUCUCCUAAACCUUGACAUCCCCCCACCCCCACCCAGGAUUCUCUGGAAAAUCAGAAUGCAGAGUUUUCAAUUAGAAAAGUCUUACUAGAGCAAGAGGCUAAAGGGAACUUUUAUGUGACACAGAAACACUCGGCUAUCUGGGCGUCUUUCAAGAGCUCCUUGCACAAUUACUUUCAAGGAUGUUGUAGGACCUUCUGGCAGUGCUGUAUGGGACGCUGCCUCAGCAUGGCCUGAUGAGCGGAGCUAGGUCCACACCCAGGAUCUGAACCAGCAAAACCCUGGGCUGCAGAAGUGAAGCGC
rnacentral:lncRNA from 1 species